AGGUCUCUGGGAGGGCAAUCUGGCUGCUGCAACAUCUGUCACCCCAUUGAUCACCAGAGUUGAUUCUGCUGAUCUGGCUGGCUAGGCGGGUGUCCCCUUCCUCCCUCAGAGCUCUAUGUGCAUCUCUCUGGAAGCUGCAUGCUCAGUUGAAGAGAACAACCUUCCCCGAAUAGAGGAGGACCAGUCCAAAC
rnacentral:snRNA from 1 species